GGGAGGCAGCAGUUGUAGGAAUUUUUCGCAAGUGGGCGCAAGCCUGACGAAGCAAUACCGCGUGAAGGAUGAAGGCCUGCGGGUUGUAAACUUCUUUUAUUAGAGAAGAUAAUGACGGUAUCUAAUGAAUAAGCAUCGGCUAAAUAUGUGCCAGCAGCCGCGGUAAUACAUAUGAUGCAAGCGUUAUCCGGAAUGAUUGGGCGUAAAGCGUCUGUAGGUGGUUUAAAAAGUCAACUGUCAAAAACUAAGGCUCANCCUUAGGCAGGCAGUUGAAACUUUUAGACUAGAGUAUGGCAGAGGUAGAGGGAAUUACUGGUGUAACGGUGAAAUGUGCAGAUAUCAGUAAGAACACCAAUGGCGAAAGCACUCUACUGGACCAAAACUGACACUCAGAGACGAAAGCUAGGGGAGCGAAUAGGAUUAGAUACCCUAGUAGUCCUAGCUGUAAACGAUGGAAACUAAAUAUUGCGUUUUUAAAUGCAGUAUUGUAGCUAACGCGUUAAGUUUCCCGCCUGGGGAGUAUGCUCGCAAGAGUGAAACUCAAA
rnacentral:rRNA from 1 species